UGGNACNGGNCUAGGAUGACGCUGGCGGCGUGCCUAACACAUGCAAGUCGAGCGAUCUUCUUCGGAAGAGAGCGGCGGACGGGUGAGUAACGCGUGGGUAACCUGCCCUGUACACACGGAUAACAUACCGAAAGGUAUGCUAAUACGGGAUAACAUACUUUUAUCGCAUGGUAGAAGUAUCAAAGCUCCGGCGGUACAGGAUGGACCCGCGUCUGAUUAGCUAGUUGGUAAGGUAACGGCUUACCAAGGCGACGAUCAGUAGCCGACCUGAGAGGGUGAUCGGCCACAUUGGAACUGAGACACGGUCCAAACUCCUACGGGAGGCAGCAGUGGGGAAUAUUGCACAAUGGGCGAAAGCCUGAUGCAGCAACGCCGCGUGAGCGAUGAAGGCCUUCGGGUCGUAAAGCUCUGUUCUCAAGGAAGAUAAUGACGGUACUUGAGGAGGAAGCCCCGGCUAACUACGUGCCAGCAGCCGCGGUAAUACGUAGGGGGCUAGCGUUAUCUGGAAUUACUGGGCGUAAAGGGUGCGUAAGUGGUUUCUUUUAGUCAGAAGUGAAAGCUACGGCUCAACCGUAGUAAGCUUUUUGAAACUAAGAGACAUGUAGUGCAGGAGAGAGAGAGUAGAAUUUCCUAGUGUAGCGGUGAAAUGCGUAGAUAAUUAUGAGGGAAUAUCACUUGCGAAGGCGGCUCUCUGGACUGUAACUUGACACUGAAGGCACGAAAGCGUGGGGAGCAAACACGAUUAGAUACCCUGGUAGUCCACGCCGUAAAACGAUGAGUACUAGCUGUCGGGGGGUGACCCCCCCUCCGCUGGCGCAGCUACAGCAUUAAGUACUCCGCCUGGGAAUACGCCUCGUCAGAGUGAAAAUCCCAAGAAUUGACCGGGAGCCGCACAAGUAGCCGAGCAUGUUGUUUAAUUCUUAAGCAACCGNGACCUUACCUAAGCUUG
rnacentral:rRNA from 1 species